rnacentral:rRNA from 1 species
AACGAACGCUGGCGGCAGGCUUAACACAUGCAAGUCGAACGCACCUUUCGGGGUGAGUGGCAGACGGGUGAGUAACGCGUGGGAAUCUACCCUUCUCUACGGGAUAGCUCCGGGAAACUGGAAUUAAUACCGUAUACGUCCUGAGGGAGAAAGAUUUAUCGGGGAAGGAUGAGCCCGCGUUGGAUUAGCUAGUUGGUGGGGUAAAAGCCUACCAAGGCGACGAUCCAUAGCUGGUCUAAGAGGAUGAUCAGCCACAUUGGGACUGAGACACGGCCCAAACUCCUACGGGAGGCAGCAGUGGGGAAUAUUGGACAAUGGGCGCAAGCCUGAUCCAGCCAUGCCGCGUGAGUGAUGAAGGCCCUAGGGUUGUAAAGCUCUUUCAGUGGGGACGAUAAUGACGGUACCCACAGAAGGAGCCCCGGCUAACUUCGUGCCAGCCGCCGGCGUAACAC